rnacentral:rRNA from 1 species
UACGGAGGGGGCUAGCGUUGUUCGGAAUUACUGGGCGUAAAGGGUGCGUAGGCGGCGCGGUAAGUCGGGGGUGAAAUCCUGGAGCUCAACUCCAGAACUGCCUUUGAUACUGGCGAUCUUGAGUCCGGGAGAGGUGAGUGGAACUGCGAGUGUAGAGGUGAAAUUCGUAGAUAUUCGCAAGAACACCAGUGGCGAAGGCGGCUCACUGGCCCGGUACUGACGCUGAGGUGCGAAAGCGUGGGGAGCAAACAGG